rnacentral:rRNA from 1 species
GACGAACGCUGGCGGCGCGCUUAACACAUGCAAGUCGAACGGAAAGGCCUGCUUUCCCUUGUGGAUUGCGGGUACUCGAGUGGCGAACGGGUGAGUAACACGUGAGUGAUCUGCCCCCAACUUGGGUAUAAGCCUGGGAAACUGGGUCUAAUUCCCGAUAGGACUGCAGGGUGGUGCCUGUGGUGGAAAACGAUUUUCUAGUGGUUGGGGAUGAGCUCGCGGCCUAUCAGCUUGUUGGUGGGGUAAUGGCCUACCAAGGCGGCGACGGGUAGCCGGCCUGAGAGGGUGGACGGCCACAUUGGGACUGAGAUACGGCCCAGACUCCUACGGGAGGCAGCAGUGGGGAAUAGUGCACAAUGGGUGGAAGCCUGAUGCAGCGACGCCGCGUGGGGGAUGACGGCCUUCGGGUUGUAAACUCCUUUCGACCGCGAGGAAGCCACCUGGUUGGAAGGGUGGUGACGGUAGUGGUAGAAGAAGCACCGGCUAACUACGUG